GUUGUACGUUAGCUUUUAUUGUGACUUUCUCUCUCUCACCUCGGGCAACGCACAUUUCCGCUUCCCUCUCUCUGCCUCUUCCCUCUAUCUGCCUCUUUCUCUUCUCUUCAUUUUCGAUAGAAGCCAUGAUGAAUAAGCUUCUAUCUUCUUCUUCUUCUUCCCUUAAUCUCAUCAAACCUUUUUCUUCUCUUCUCCAUCGAUUUGAUUCCGCCAAAUUCUCAUCAACGCGCUGUUCCUUCACCUCAAUUUCUUCCAAGCAUGAAACCCCACCCCCUCCAUUAUCGAAAACCUACCAUCCCUUAUCCCAUCUCCGUCUCCGCUCACUCCGAAUCAUUUCCAAAAACCACCAUAGAAUUGGAGAAAAACGGUAUGUAUCAACUUUCUUAUUGCUGCUGCCUGCUUAGAUAAGGUCUCCAUAGAAUUCUCUUUUUUUUUUUAAAAAAAAAAAAAAAGAGAAGAACGAUAUCUUUGAGGGGCAUGAGGCAACUGUAUAUUCUGUCUGUCCUCAUCACAAGGAGAGCAUUCAGUUUUGCAGUUUAUAUUUUCAACUGCCAUUGAUGGCAAAAUUAAAGCCUGGUUAUACGAUAAUAUGGGUUCUAGGGUUGAUUAUGAUGCCCCAGGUCAUUGGUGUACUACAAUGCUUUAUAGUGCUGAUGGAAGUAGACCGUUUUCUUGUGGAAUUAGUAAAGAUGGAGAGUCAUUUCUUGUUGAAUGGAAUGAAAGUGAAGGACCAUUAAGAGAACAUGCAAUGGGUUCAGAAAUAAAUCCACUGGUGUUGUGCAGUUUGACAUAACCCAAAAUCAAUUUUUGGCUGCUGGUGAAGAUGGCCAAGUCAAAUUUUGGGAUAUGGACAACAUUAAUCUUUUAACAAGCACUGAUGCAGAGGGUGGACUACAGACCCUUUCGUACUUGAGAUUCAACAAAGAAUGAAAUCUUCUUGUUGUUACUACUGUAGACAAGGGAUUCAAAAUUCUUGCUAAUGCUAAUGGUCUUAGAUCGUUGAGAACAGUUGAAACUCCAAGAUUUGAAGCAUUGAGGUCACCAAUUGAAUCUUCUGUAGUCAAGGCAUCUGGCUCUUCUGCUGUUAAUGUUAGCCCUGUCAACUGUAAAGUAGAAAAGGGCUCACCUGUCAGGCCUUCUCCAAUUCUUAAUGAAGUCGAUACCACAAGUCAAAAUGCGGAGAAAACUAGAACCGUGGAAGAUGGAGUAGAUAGAGCUAAACCAUGGCAGCUGUCUGAAAUUGUGGAUGUUGGUGUUUUGGCACUUGGUUCAAAUGGUAUUCAAAAGCUGUGGAAGUGGGCUUGUAGUGAAAAAAAUCUCAAUGGGAAGAGACACAACUAUGAAAGAGUGUUGAAGAACUAGAGAGUCAGGCUCAGCGCGUCAGUCUCGCUCAACGUAAUAGUCUCGUUUAGCGCCAGAAGUCACAUGGGAGGCCAGUUGUCACGUGCAUGCAUGCUUAGUGCAUGGUGUGUUGAUGGAUUGAUAAAUGCAUUAAUUCAUCCCAAGUAGUAAAGUUAAAACAGAAGUCUGAGUGUCGAAUUCACAGAGACUUUGUUUGUACUUAGGUAAAUGAAUAUUUUAUUAAUAAAAGAGGUUAAAGAAAAAUUGAUUUGAAAAGGUUAUGAGAAAACAAUAAUUU